rnacentral:rRNA from 1 species
AAACUUGAGAGUUUGAUCCUGGCUCAGAACGAACGCUGGCGGCAGGCUUAACACAUGCAAGUCGAACGCCCCGCAAGGGGAGUGGCAGACGGGUGAGUAACGCGUGGGAA